rnacentral:rRNA from 1 species
UACGGAGGGUGCAAACGUUGCUCGGAAUCAUUGGGCGUAAAGCGCACGUAGGCGGUCCAGCAAGUCGGAUGUGAAAUCCCUCGGCUUAACUGAGGAAGUGCAUUCGAAACUGACUGGACUUGAAUAUGGAAGAGGGUCGCGGAAUUCCCGGUGUAGAGGUGAAAUUCGUAGAUAUCGGGAGGAACACCAGUGGCGAAGGCGGCGACCUGGGCCAAUAUUGACGCUGAGGUGCGAAAGCGUGGGGAGCAAACAGG